rnacentral:lncRNA from 1 species
UAUUUACUGAACUCUGUCUCUGGUUAUAAGAGAGGAUGGUCCAACUAUAUGAGUUUGAGCCCCAAGGGCUGAAUGGAUACAGAGUCUUGACUCCACUCUGAAUGCAUAAAGGGAUAAUCUCUCUGGGUAUGUAUGUGCUACAUCCCCUGUACGUCAAGUGCCCAACCAUUCCUGCUCUCUGGAGAUAGAGGUCCCAAAAGACAUAAUGAGGAGGAGUCCCUGGAGCAGCUUCACCACUGCAUUUCCAGGUUUGGAAGUGGAGUCAUUAACUGGCUGGUGCAGGGUUUUGAGAAAAUGGUACCUCAGCCAGAGAAAAAGCCUGAGGAAGCAAAGGAAAAGAAGCCUGAGGAGACUGCCAAAAUAGAAGAACCAAAGCUGGAGCCUAAACUGGAACCGAAGCCGGAGCCUCCACCAAAAGAGAGUGCCAGUGAAUCUCUAACUACACAAGAGGCAACUGCAGCUAGCCAGCUGGGGCUUGGAGUCUCUUUUUUCCCUUGGGCUUUAGGUGGUGAUGGUAGCAGGAUGUUUGACUGGUUUGUUCAGGAACUGGAGAAGAUGGUUCCACAGCCUGUGAUCAAGCAGGCUGAUUCGGAAGGAGAAGUGGUAACUGCGUGCCCAGUGGAGGAGAUUUGUAUCUUCCCCGAGGAGCAGGGAGAGACCAAACUUGUCAUUGAAGACACUGAAUCCAAUGAAGUUCUAGAAGAGGUGAAACCUUGUGACACUGAGAUGGAACUUAAACUGUCUUCUGCUCCUCUCCCUUCAAUAGAAGAGGAAACUCAGGAGGAAGAAGAGAGGUAAGAAGAGAAAGCUCAUACUGGAAAAGCCACCUUGUAUGUCAGAUCCUAUAUUAUAAGGAAUCAAGCCC